UAACACGUUGGUGACCUGCCCCGAGGAGCGGGAUAACUCCUUGAAAGAGGAGCUAAUACCGCAGAUGUCUAAGUUGUUAGAGGACUUAGACUAAAGCCUUGGCGUCUCGGGAGGGGCCUGCGGGCUAUCAGCUAGUUGGUGGGGUAAGAGCCUACCAAGGCGAAGACGGCUAGGGGGCGUGAGAGCGUGACCCCCCACAAGGGAACUGAGAAACGGUCCCUACUCCUACGGGAGGCAGCAGUGAGGAAUAUUGAGCAAUGGGCGCAAGCCUGACUCAGCAACGCCGCGUGGAUGAAGAAGGCCUUCGGGUUGUAAAAUCCUUUUCUGAGGGACGAUAAUGACGGUACCUCAGGAAUAAGUUCCGGCUAACUACGUGCCAGCAGCCGCGGUAAAACGUAGGGGACAAGCGUUAUCCGGAUUUACUGGGCGUAAAGCGCCCGUAGGCGGCUUGACAAGUUGGAUGUGAAAGCUCCCGGCUUAACUGGGAGAGGUCAUUCAAAACUGUCAGGCUAGAGGAUGGAAGAGGAGAGCGGAAUUCCCGGUGUAGUGGUGGAAUGCGUAGAGAUCGGGAGGAACACCGGCGGCGAAGGCGGCUGCCUGGACCAGUCCUAACGCUGAGGCGCGAAAGCUAGGGGAGCAAACAGGAUUAGAUACCCUGGUAGUCCUAGCCCUAAACGAUGGAUACUGGCUGUGGGGGGUAGCCAAUCCCCCCGUGGCGAAGCUAACGCAUUAAGUAUCCCGCCUGGGGAGUACGGUCGCAAGUCUGAAACUCAAAGGAAUUGACGGGGGCCCGCACAAGCGGUGGAGCAUGUGGUUCAAUUCGACGCAACGCGAAGAACCUUACCUGGGCUCGAAGUGGGGCGGAAGAGGGCUGAGAGGCCCUUGUCCCUUCGGGGACUGCCCCAGAGGUGCUGCAUGGCUGUCGUCAGCUCGUGUCGUGAGAUGUUGGGUUAAGUCCCGCAACGAGCGCAACCCUUGUCCUUAGUUGCUAACGGGAGAGCCGAGCACCCUAAGGAAACUGUCGGCGAUAAGCCGGAGGAAGGCGGGGAUGACGUCAAGUCCUCAUGGCCUUUAUGUCCAGGGCUACACACGUGCUACAAUGGGCGCCACAAAGGGCCGCAAACCUGCAAAGGGGAGCCAAUCCCAGAAAAGCGCUCUCAGUUCGGAUUGGAGUCUGCAACCCGACUCCAUGAAGCUGGAAUCGCUAGUAAUCGCGGAUCAGCAUGCCGCGGUGAUACGUUC
rnacentral:rRNA from 1 species